rnacentral:rRNA from 1 species
UACGGAGGGUGCAAGCGUUGUUCGGAUUUACUGGGCGUAAAGCGCGCGCAGGUGGAUGGACAAGUCGGAAGUGAAAUCUUGAGGCUCAACCUCGAGGCUGCUCCCGAAACUGUUCGUCUAGGGACUGGUAGAGGCUGGUAGAAUUUCCGGUGGAGCGGUGAAAUGCGUAGAGAUCGGAAAGAACACCAACGGCGAAAGCACUCUGCUGGGCCGACACUGACACUGAGAGACGAAAGCUAGGGGAGCGAAUGGG